rnacentral:rRNA from 1 species
GUGGGGAAUCUUAGACAAUGGGGGAAACCCUGAUCUAGCCAUGCCGCGUGAGCGAUGAAGGCCUUAGGGUUGUAAAGCUCUUUCAGCUGGGAAGAUAAUGACGGUACCAGCAGAAGAAGCCCCGGCUAACUCCGUGCCAGCAGCCGCGGUAAUACGGAGGGGGCUAGCGUUGUUCGGAAUUACUGGGCGUAAAGCGCACGUAGGCGGAUCAGAAAGUCAGAGGUGAAAUCCCAGGGCUCAACCUUGGAACUGCCUUUGAAACUCCUGGUCUUGAGGUCGAGAGAGGUGAGUGGAAUUCCGAGUGUAGAGGUGAAAUUCGUAGAUAUUCGGAGGAACACCAGUGGCGAAGGCGGCUCACUGGCUCGAUACUGACGCUGAGGUGCGAAAGCGUGGGGAGCAAACAGGAUUAGAUACCCGUGUAGUCC